rnacentral:tRNA from 1 species
GCCGCGGUGGCGGAAUUGGCAGACGCGCACGGUUUAGGACCGUGUGGGGCAACCCGUGGGAGUUCAACUCUCCCCCGCGGCA